rnacentral:rRNA from 1 species
AGAGAAUUCCUAGUGGCGAACGGGUGAGUAACGCGUUGGUGACCUGCCCCAAAGAAGGGGAUAACAGUUCGAAAGGACUGCUAAUACCCUAUGUUAUCAGUUGGAUUAGAAGCCUACUGAUUAAAGGAGUAAUCCGCUUUGGGAGGGACCUGCGUCCCAUCAGCUAGUUGGUAGGGUAACGGCCUACCAAGGCAAUGACGGGUAGGGGACCUGAGAGGGUGGCCCCCCACAAUGGCACUGAAACACGGGCCAU